rnacentral:piRNA from 1 species
UGAAGGAAAACGGUACGGUGCUUCCUGC